rnacentral:lncRNA from 1 species
UACUCUACAGAUAGAGGAAAACUGGAGGGAAGAGUCACAAAUAAGAUGGUUGUAUACCUCACUAGAAGCUGACGAACUGCAGCAAGUAAAAAUGUGCAUUGAUAUUGGCCUACACUGCGUCCAGUCAAAGCCUGAAAAGAGACCUACCGCUAGGGACAUCAUGCUCUGGCUUGAUAAAGGGGUCAAUCCAGUCCCAGCCCCAAGAGCAGGUGGAGGAGUGUCAAGACCUACAGUCUCAGUUCCAAGUGCAGGUCCAGGAGGGGUGCCAAGACCUCCUGUCCCCACUAAUAUCACCCAUGCAGAUGACCGCAUCCAAGGUUUUCCCAUUCUGGAGCCCUCUAGUGUUAAUGAAUAUUUGUUGAUGAAAACUGCAUUUGUGAAAACAAUUAAAAUACAAAAUCUUCAUCUUUUUUCAAAAACAAAUUCGAUAAAGAUCUUUUUUCAAUGAAGGGCAUACUUUAUUGACCCAAAAUGUAGCAUCAAGAGGAUUCAAACAAUCCAAAUGUCUUCAUCUACUUCUGUUCAUCCAAAUCGACCGGUAAAGCAUUUCACACAAAGUUAUAAGACCAAGGGCUUCCUCCUUUUCAAAUAAAACACUCAUCUAUCCGGCAGAAAAAAAAAACACUCAUCUUCGUCCAUGGAUACUCGUGUUGAAGACUCCCUGCGAUCUUGUUUCUUUUUUUGGGGAAAAGGAGGAUAACCCCCGGCCUUUGCAUCAGAACGAUGCAUGCGGUCUUGUUUCUGUGUCUUUUUUCAAGUGUGCAUCUACUGUUGUGACUAAAUAUAUGCCUUUGACUCAUUGGUCAAUCAAAGGUCAGCAAGGCUACCGAUGUUUACACAAUCUUAAGUAUUUACAUGAAAUUGAUUACAGUUUUAAUCCAGCGAAGCAAAUAUAUAUCCCCAGCUGGAUCAAACUUGUCUAAUGCUUUUGUACAUUUAUUAUAUGUUAUACCAGGAAACGAGAAGCCGGCGGGAUUCAUAAAACGAAUCUUCGGAAGAAAGUAGCCACCUGAGGGAGGAGGAGAAUUCUUUGAAGUGGACAGGAUUUAAGAAACGAUUCAUUCCCGGCGGUGAAAAUUAUAUGAUGGUUCAACAAAGCUCGUGGUUGGUACUGUUGGAACGUGGCAUCUGCAGCUGCCUGACUGAGUUGAUCAUGAGGAGGGGGAGCGCUCACUGCAUGGAAUGGGAUCAUGUUCUGUCAGCCAACGCGAGUCACACAGUGACACAAGUAGCAUUUAGUUGUGUAACCUGACCCCAUGAGUGGGAAAGUUACACAAAUCUUCUGGUACCGCAAGCGAUGCGCCACAUCUGUGGAAGGGGCCGGAGGUAGUUUUACUGCAUAUUGGAUCCUUUCUGUAUUCUUAUCUUUCUAUGUUUCGCAUUCAUGUGAUCUAUACGAAGCAAAGUGUGUGGGUUGCAUCAUUUAGACAGUCCAAGUACUGUAGUCAGUUGCAGAGAGUUCGGUCCAUUUCUGAACUUGGGUCGGAGCUAUGCUGUCAUGAAAAUGUGAGAUGAUUUUCAGGACGCACCCGAGCCAUCAUUUAUUAAAACAAACUAAAACGAUAUGAUGUAACUGAUGCAAGUUGUACUGAACCAAUGGUGCUUGCAAUAUUCGGAAGUUUGAUGACUAAUCGGCAAGUUAAGCAUGCAAGCACAUUGAUGAGGAGCGAACCUCAAGACGAGGGACGAUCCGUUGUUGACCCGAUCUUUCACGGCACAAACCUUCAUCGCAGCAAGAACAAGUCGCGGGUUUACGAAGAUGUUCGCAAAUCCCACGGAAACAACACGCCAACCCCUCAAUCCGAAGGAAUAACGUGGACGAACUGUAUAGGCUCAGCUUGUAAUCCCCUACGCGCCGCGUUGCAUGAACUUACACGCCAGUAGAGAUUUUGAUAAGAAUUCUCUAAACUCGAUAAUGGCCAGCGGCCUAAACACACGUGGUGUCUAAUUCCAUCAUAAAAUAACCUACCCUUUCAUGACACAUUGACUUGGCCUUAUAUUGUGGCCGUACACCCUAAUCUACCUUGGAAAACAAGCAACGUAUUGUGGCUAGCUAGAUGGGAAAAAAACUAAUCUGAACUCUAUCUAAUAAAUAUUGCCUUUUACAUCUCGGCGAACUUCUAAUUCCAUAAUUAACAAACUAACAAAACCUUGUCUCCAGAUGAUUUUGUACGCAUAUAUUGCCGGUGGCCCCAUCCAAUCUCCUGCAAGGUCACGAAAUCCCAACUUUCCGAAGUACACCGAAUGUAUAUUUCCUUGUCAUCCGGUGGUCUCGUACGUGCAAAGUAGUAGCCGGAUAGGCGCCCUGCUAUAGCCUGAGAAUUGAACAUCUUGCCUUUUUUAAACGAAGAAAACGACCAGAUUAUCUCUUGAAAAGGGUUAGCACGUGGAUUCUCCCAGGGUAUAUACUUUGCAUGUGUCUCCCCUGUGUAUGCCCAUCUGGUUCACUAAAAACAAAGUCUUGCAUAUCAUGCAUGAAGGGCUGGAUGCACAUGCAUGCAAGUACACACGCAUGCAUGUUACUCCCUCCGUUUCGAAAUAUAAGUCUUUUUAGAUAUUUCAAAUGGACUAUAACAUACGGAUGUAUGCAGACAUAUUUAGAGUGUAGAUUCAUUCAUUUUGCUCUGUAUGUAGUCACUUGUUGGAGUCUUUAAAAAGACUUAUAUUUAGGAACGGAGGGAGUAAUAAUUUCCAACCAUGCUCGUGGUUUCUUCUCGUAAUUCUCAUGUGAUGAACCAUCCACAAAACCAGCAUGCAUGUACGUUAUAGCAACUAAUGCUUCAACUUCCUCUUCAUGCUUCUGAUUAAAAACUAUAUAAUUUGGCACAUGGUCACCUUCAACUUUCAACCUUGAUGUACCUAAUAAAUCAAUACAAACAGUAUCCGUGCUAGUGGUAGCCAUGGCCAUAUCACACAUUGAACAUUCACCCAAAACAGAGUUGUGAUCACAACACGGCGGUUACAACUUCACACAGGCUGAUUACAAGUUUACAACUCAAUGCAGAGAAUUCUACUCAUCACUUCUUAAGACGCAAACGAUGUGCUUCUGCUGCGUGUUUUUUCCUGUUUCCAGCGUGGCUUAUCCCAAGCCAGCGUUACAGAUUACAUGGACGCUGCCUGUAUUGCCAGUGGCACCGGCAGAUAGGAGCAGAUGUUCACAAAGUCACACACACACACACACACACACAAUUGAAGGACACAUUCAAGUAUUAGAUUAUUUUUCUGUGGGAUCCAAUAUCGGGAAUUUUGAUCGGCAUAAUGCAGAGAAAUUGUUGGCCAAUCGUUAUCACCGGUACUACUACAAUGACAUCAUGACGCACGCAGAACCCGACGGACAACUGCUUCCCUUAAUCGAGAGUGGGACACUUGCAAACUCGCAACUUUACCCCUAGACCCACCAAAUUAUGACGCUUACAAACACACGGGAUUCAGAAACUUUUACUGAAGCAAAAUGCUCUGAUUUUGCAUAUUUUGAAGCCGAUGCACAUUUACCGUCCUAGCAAUCCCAUGCUCAGAUUGCGUAUACUGAAGCAAACAAGCUGUCGGGUGAGGAGGCAGCGAGAAGCUCCAUAAAACACAAAAAUAGAAUCGCCCAAACGAGCAGAACACGCUGCUGGCAACAGUUUGGUUGGAUAAUGGUGAGGUGAUCGGCAGCAGGAACUUGCAGUGGCCAUGGAAAAAACUAAGAGAGAAAAAGAAGAAGAAAAGUCAGUUAGUUCAUACGGUGUUACAGCCUGGUAAGGAUAAGGUCAGCAGGAUGAUAAGGCACAUGUGGUGGUGGAGAAGUGGGCACUUGUUGCUUGGCUACGUACACACCUAGACGUACAUGAGAAAGAACAUCUCAAAAAUAAUCAAACAAACAUGUGAUGUAUUAAAUCCUGUUUCCUCAAGUGGGACAGAGGAUUUGACCACAUUGUUUGGAUUUCUUGUGAUAAUUCAAGUCUUUUUUCUAUUAGCCAUGUUCAAGAAUUCGCAUGAUAAUUAACCAGUUAACUUGCGAUUAAUCCUUAUCCGUAGGGUCACCAAGUAGUCAAUAAACUGAGCAGCCUAUUAAUUCCCUACUCACCAGCCAACCGAGCAGCCAGUGGCGUACCAACGGGUGUGCCAGGUGUUGAAAAACAUUUUUUCACCAUGUAAAAAUUAGCUGAUUUUUAAGGCCCAUGCAAGGUAAUUGAAAUAGACUUCAUUUCUUUUAAAUGUGCACACCGUUCAUUUUAUUUCUAGAUUCGCCAUUGCGAGCAGCUACCAAGUUAACGAUUUCCUUAACAAUGAUGAUUAGUAUAUGUGUUACUAAAGAGCCACAAAGUUGAGAUGACUGUGCUGUGUGUGAAAAAAAAUAUGAAUCGGGUAAAUUCGUGGCAUGAAAAAGCCGCAAUAUUAAAAUGCAAGAUUGAUCCUAAAACCAAUUAAGUGAAUGGUUGUCUCAAUACAACCUUAAAUAUAUUAAAACAAGUUUCAUUAUUAAAAUAUAUAUUAAAAAGUUCCCUUUCUUCCUCAAAUUUGAGCAGGCACCUGUGCUUCUUCAAAGAUUAUUUCGCCUCUUCUCGCCCAUGGCGGCUCCUCUUCCCACAGACGUUGUCGCAGCCCCGUUCACCCCCUCAGUCAUGCACAUGCACCCCGUUGAUGUCUGGCCGCCGAGUACAUAAAUUCAUAAAUAAAUUCAAUGAGACGGAUCCGAUGAUCUCCUCAAGAGCGUGCUUUUAAAAUGCAGGCUGCCGCGAACCAAUCUGUGAUUGGAUAGUUAGAAGGUCUGCGGUAACCCCAUCCAACCAGAUUCAUCCAGUCCCAAACUUAAUAUUGAUGCUCACAUUUUUCUAGAUUUAUUUCAGGCUUUCGUCAAUCUCAACAUGCUAUGUCGGCUCAGACUCUCGGAGGUAUUUAUAAGGUAGGGUAUACGUGUAUGUAUUCACAGAGGUGUGAGUGCUCGGUUAUGUGAGCGACUUCGACUGUGUUGUGUUAAAAAAAUGCAAGCUGCCUCUGUCCCCGCCGUUUUUUUAAUUAUUAAUCUGGCAUGUGUAUGGUAAUUCAACAAGUUGAUCGGGUCUUAGGAAAUGCAAGGUCCCUCGGUCACCAGGCCGACCGGUCAUUUUUUUUCAGACAAAGGGCCGACCGAUCAUUUAUUAGUACUCUGCUUAUCGGGCCAUUGGCACAGCUCUAGAGCUCCGGAUCUGGAUCGACUUAUUAUUCUCCCCCCGGUCAACGCCUUUGCCUGCUGAGCCAGGGAAUGAUUGAUCCGCUCAUGAUCUACAAGACGAGAAGCAAGCCCAGUUUUGCUCCUAGCUAGCUGCUUUCUCCUCCUCCUCCAAUCUCCAGGUGAGUAAUUAAGAUGCAACUAGGUAGCUGCUUUCUGGUAAGACUUAUCUUCUGCUUGAUUUGCUUUGUGCAGCAACGAAUGAAGGAGAAGCUGGCAACCAUAUUCAUAUCCAUAAUCCAUAUCUAUAUGCGAGCUAUUGCUUGCUAGAAAGCUUCUUGCUCGCAUACUCGGAAAUGGGCGGAUACGAGUUCCAGAGGGCGGAGCUAGAUGCACUGGAAGGCGUCGUACGCGAUCCAACUGCGGAGCCAAUGAGUCUGACGUUGCCGCUUCUCAGGCACAUAACAAAUGAUUUCUCCCCUGAAUUUGAAAUUAGUAAAGAUGAUUCUGCAGUGGUUUACCUGGUACGACUAAACUCAUAUCUCGUUUAUUAUUAAUAUAAGCAAAUCCUAUCUCGUUAAUUAGUACUCUGCUUAUGUGGUCGAAUAUAUAUGUAGGGGGUGCUUCCAAGUGGGUUCCGUGUUGCUGUCAAGAAGCUUCACAAUCGUCAUUGGUUAGAAGAUGAAGAUGCAUUUAUAAAUGAAGUUUCUAUCGCAAUGAAGGCUGCUAAGAAGAACACAGUGCGAGUUAUAGGCUACUGUCAGCACACGCAAGAGCAAAUUGCCGAAUACGAAGGAAAACAAGUUUUCGCCGAGCUAACAGAAAGGUUGAUCUGUACCGAGUAUGUGCCUAACGGACCCCUUAGUGGACAUAUCGAAGGUAAGAUAUGUGCGCAAAUGGAUGGAUACGAGUUCCAGAGGGCAGAACUAGAUGCACUAGAACGCGUCGUACGCGAUACAAGUGCGGAGCCAAUGAGUCUGACGUUGCCGCUUCUCAGGCACAUAACAAAUGAUUUCUCCGAUGAAUCUCGAAUUGGCCGAGGUGGAUUCGCAGUGGUUUACCUGGUAUGAUUAAACUCAUACAGUAUCUCCUUAGAUAUUAAGCAAUUCCUAUCUUGUCAAUUACUAACUUCUUAUUGUGGUCAAAUAUACAGGGGGUGCUUCCAAGUGGGUUACGUAUUGCUGUUAAGAGGCUUAGCAAUAUUGCUUAUAUGAAUGAAAGUGCAUUUCAAAAUGAAGUGUUUAUCACAAUGAAGGCCACUCACAAGAACACAGUGCGAUUCAUGGGCUACUGUAGUCAAAUACAAGGUAAACUCAUCGAACACAACGGGCAACAUGUUUUCGCACAGCUCGAGGAAAGGUUGAUCUGUGUGGAAUAUGCGCCUAAAGGAACCCUUGAUGCACAUAUCGGUAAGAUCGAUAACACGGCAUGCCCGCCCUAGCAAUAAUUCCCUCUCUUUAUUUUGGUGUUUCUGUUUGUGUGGCUGUUUUUUACUUUGUGCUCACAGAACAAAGAAUGAAUACCAGUGGAACAAAAAAGUAGACUAUAAUUUUAGCGCAACUGAAACCAACAUGACCAGUCGUAGAACACAAAUUUAGACAAAGUGGACCAAAUCAUAAGAAAUAUUAGAACAUUAAUUUUUUUAGAACAUAAGGCACAAAAUUAUAGUGCUCGUGAAUCAAAACUUGGCUACAAGUGGAACAAAUAUUGUAACAAAUACAAGAAAACUAUUAGAGGCUUGUGCAACAAAAUUUCGGUGCCCAUGGAACAAAUCAAAAUUCUAGUGGAACAAAAGUUUUAACUAACUAGAAUGAGCAAAGUAUAUCACUUGCAGGAAAAAAUUGAAACUACUACUGCUGCCACUUCACCACUUCUUGUGCUGACUUUGCCAUCCUCACCUGGUACCAAUUUCCUUCAGUUUUCGUGUGUGCCAAUGAAUUCAGAUUUCCAAACAAGUGGAGGUUUUUUCUUCCUUCCCCAAUAUCCCUCGUUCUACCCAACUAUCUAUAAUGGGGCAGAGAAGGAUAAGCAAAGUAGGCGGUAGAACAAAAAAUUAAUGUAAUUGGGACAAAAUUUAAUCAGUAAAUGCUCACUAGUCUGAGGAUAAACGAAAGCAUGAAACAAGGAAAAGACGAGGGUGAGCAACUAUUGGAAUAAAAGAAAAAUUAAACUAGCAGAGCAAAGUAAAGUUGCAACCAAAUCAUCAGCGAGCACCACAUCAGCGCGCUAGUCUCCCCUCCCGGCGGUAACCGCUAUUGGUGGCUCACCGGCGUCUAAGGCCCCUAGGCGGAUGAAGACUAGAUGGCUUUCCUUGCCGAUCUACAUGACGUCUGGCCCUUGGCUUAUUGGUGCCGAUUUCAACAUGAUCGUCUCUGAGGCGGACAAGAAUAACCCGCACGUGAACCGGCGGAUCAUGCAUCGCUUUCGAUGCUUCCUUGUCGACGAGGAACUUCAUGACAUUUGUAUGCAUGGUAGGCGCUACAUGGUCCAGCGAGCGCAAGAUUCCUACUCUUGUCAAGAACAACCGCAUCGUCUCCUCCUCCUCGAAGGAUGCACAUCCCCACUGCCUGUUGUAGUGCCUCUAUUCAGCUGCUUCAGAGCACUGGCCGCUCCUUCUUGAUUGUGUCCCGUGUACCCAUGGGAUCAAGCGGUUCCACUUCGAGUGAUUUUGGCAGAAGCUUGAUGAUUUCCAACUAGUCGCCUCUGAGGCUUGGAACUCCAUUGAGCAUGCCCCUGAUGCAUUUCGCCAUAUCGUCGUGUGCCUUAAGUCUACCACACGUCGUCUCCAGAGCUGGAGUGCCAAGUCUAUUGGCCAAAUCUCGGUGCAGCUUCAGAUCGCGUGUGAGCUCAUUGCUCAUUUGGACGCCGCUCAGCACUUUCUGCCGCUCUCGACCUCGGAGGCCUGGUUGCGACAUAGGCUGAAGGCCGCCUACCUUGGCCUUGCCUCGCUCGAGUGUUCCAUCAUUCGGCAGCGCACGAGGUUUGCCUGUCUCAGGGAGGCUGAUGCCGGCCCUACCUUCUUCAACAUGCAUGCAUGCCUCGUACCAUAAGCAGAAAAACCACAUCUUCGAGCUCAAGGUGGGUGAUAGAGUUGUCUCCACGCCGGAGGCGUUUGCCACUGCGGGAUUUUGAUCACUUCACCGGUGCCCUUGAGACCUCCGAGGACCGCGACUUCUCCAUCUCCCUUCGGGAUCUGCAUGCUGGUGCUUUCGAUAUCAAGGCCCUUGAUGAGCCAUUUUUUUAGGCCGAAAUUUGGCGCGUUGUCAAGGCUCUACCCUCCAGUAAGGCGCCGGGGCCAUCCCUCAAUGCGUGAGGCUUUCAAAAACUCAACGAGGCAUACAUUACCCUGCUCCCCAAACGUCGUGCCGACGCAACCACACUCUUCUACUUUUGGUCCAUUAGCCUCAUCCAUCUGAUGGCGAAGUUGUUCGCCAAGGCGCUCUCUCUCUCUCUCUCUCUCUCUCUCUCUCUCUCUCUCUCUCUCUCUCUCUCUCUCUCUCUCUGCAAACGGCGUGUGUUCUGCACAAUCUCAAGGUUCCUCGGGUGAUGCUGAAGCUUGACAUCGUUAGGGCCUUCGACUCGGUGUCUUAGCCCUUUCUUCUGGCCCGAAUGUCCCUCUCGUCCGCAGAAAGGGCGUGUGAUUCUUGGGCAAUGUCAAGGCGAAGGAUAACGAGAAGGGCUGCAUGAAGAUGCAACUUUGCCUUGGAGAAGAGGCCCUUACUCCAUCUCGCCAAGUGCCACCCCGUUUUCCUGAGCUUAUGGAAAAGCCGCUGGCAAGGCUCCGUGUGCUCGCAUGGCUCAUCCCAAGCCUUUGACACGAUGUCAAAGAAGCCGGGGAGACAGGACAGAAAAUUCUCAAAUUUGAAACAUCUUGGUCGCUUGGGCCCCUUGUCAUCAACGAGGAGGAGAGGGCAGUGAUCCGAAAGUGAAUAGGAGAUGGAGUGGAGCACAUGGGAGUUAAAAUGCAUGUCCCAAUCGGCAUUUCGGAACAUCGAGUCAAGCUUGCAAAGAGUUGGGUUUUGACGCUCGUUGCUCCAAGUGAAUCGUAUGUUUUGCAUUACCAUGCCUUCUAUUUUUAUCUCAAGCACGAUAGAUUUGGUUGAAGUCGCCCAUGACAAUCCAUUUAGUGCCAUUGUUGGGUUUUUGUGAGAUUAGCUCGUUAAAGAAGUCACCCUUUCUGUCGGAGGCCGUGGGAACAUAGACACUAGUGAUCAUGAAGUAGGUAUCGGUGUGAAUCACAUUGACCAUUGCCGAGAGGCAGAACUCAGUAAAGUUGACGUCUGAAAUACGGAUGACACUAUCGUCCCAAAGCAUGAGUAGGCCCCCUUUGGUUCCAAUAGCCGGACGCUGACAAAACUCGAAAGCCUAUUGCCGCCGAGGUAGGAGGCGAUGAAUCGGUCCACUGAUUCCAUCUUGGACUCCUGAAAGCAAACAAUGUGGCAAGAGGAGGAGGCAAUCGUCUCAUGAACCGUCGCCCGUCUACCUGGGUUGCCAAAUUUUGAUAAUUGGUUUGAUGCCAAAAAUUGGCAUGCCAAAUUUUGGCAACUGCCAAAUAUUGGCUAGAGAUUGAUUGCUUGCCAAUUUUCAUUGCCAAUCUCAGAAAAAGUUGUCAAAUGUUGGCAACUUCUGAUUUUGCCAAAUGUGGGUUUGCCAAAUAUUGGCAAUGCCAGAUGUUGGUAGCAAACCAAUUAUGCUCUAGUUUCCUGAUGAUAGAACAAAACAUAAUUUUUUUGAGUUGAAAUCUGCAAGGAUUAAGAGCAUAAUUGGUUUGCUACCAACAUCUGGCAUUGCCAAUAUUUGGCAAACCCACAUUUGGCAAAAUCAGAAGUUGCCAACAUUUGGCAACUUUUUGUGAGAUUGACAAUAAAAAUUGGCAAGCAACCAAUCUCUAGUUAAUAUUUGGCACUUGCCAAAAUUUGGCAUGCCAACUUUUAGCAUCAAACCAAUUAUGCUCUUGACCCUUGCAGAUUUCAACUCAAAAAAAUUGUUUUGUUCUAUCAUCAGGAAACUAGGGGUCUCGUGGCACUCACAAUUAGAGCCCGUCGGGGUUGCAUGAAGUGUGCUUGCUGAACCAGCUCUUUGCACAACAAAGAGAGAAAUAAUCUGGAAGCUGCGUGGAGUUUGAGGUCAGGGUGGCUGCUGUCUAGAGUAGAGGUUGCAACUUGCAAGCGAUCUUUGCACAACCAUGAUCUUCAUUAAGCACUGGCGACGAUGAACACCCAAGUUACAACCAACAGGAACGUUACAGCAACUAGUUCCUCUUGGUUAAGGGAUAACAGAGAGCUUUGCUAACAUCAGGGCAACUAGUGCUUUGGCUCUGUGAAGUGGGGAGAAACAAUGGAGGCACUUGCCCACCAAUUGAGGGGGGAUUUGAGGCCGCCUGUGAGGAGCUGGAGGGGGGGUUUGGCAGGCCAGGGGAGGGGAGGGGAGGUUGUCGCUGCGUCCAGCCAGGCUCCAGGGGGCAUCCUGUACUUCCUCUGCAAGGCGAUGCGCGGGGGCGGCGUUUGCAGCGGAAGACCCGGGGCGGGGUUGCCGCCCGGGCAUUGAUGGCGGCCUCCUCUUGAAUGCGUUGCAGAGACGCGUCGGGGGCGACGAUGAUGGAAGCGACGCGCACGCCUCCCCCUCGAAGGACAGGCGGCGUCUCCAGAACCUCGUCAGCAAGCUCAGCUGCCUGGAUCCGGAGACGUGCAGCGGCCGAUCCAGACCGGGCACCAGUGGCACGACAGUGGACACAGGGAUAACAACCGGGAAAAAAAAAAUCUCCGGCAAGCGGGGCGGCGGCGGUGGCAGCUCAUGUUGUCCGGCGAGCCCCGAAUGGCACGCGCCGGGUGGGGCUGGUGGGUGGGUGGGUCGCCCACUCAUCUUGUCCGGUGAUUUUUCCAGCUGUGCCAGCUAAGUUUUUCAAGUGCAGUGUUUGCGAUUUAGGAAUUUUGAGAGGAUACAUGCUUCGCUGUUUUAUCUAUUUCUAUCUAUCUCAUGUAAGCCUUUCGGGAUGACAAGCAGAUCAACUUCAUGACAUUAUCAAUACUUCUGCAGGUGACUAUGGUGAACUUGACUGGAACCAGCGUUAUCAAAUUCUAAAAGGAAUUUGUCAGGGUUUGCAUCAUCUCCAUGACGAAAUGCACGUUUUUCAUGGAGAUAUCAAACCAGCCAAUAUAUUAAUAGGGGAUAACCUUGUGCCUAAAAUCUAUGACUUCGGUCUCUCCCAGAUGUUUGAAGAAGAAGAAACGGAACGUAUUGUUAAAAAUAUGGCCGGAACAUUGUAAGCUAACCCGUUCCUCUUGGUUAUUUUGUUUUGUUUCUGCUGACACAGGUACUUCGAUAACCAAAAUGCAUUAGAGUUAGUCGGCCGAUUGCCUCACAUCUAACAUAUGUGCAGGUGUUAUCUUGCACCGGAGGUACUUAACACUCAUAUGAUGUCAUUUAAGGCUGAGAUAUACAGUUUGGGCGUUGUGAUCGAGGAGUUAUUGACCGGGAAGAAAGGAUGGAUUGAUGAGGAUGUGAGAAAACUAUUUAAACCACAUUUGGAUCAAAGUGUUGCCAUUGAUAUAUUUGUAUUCUAUCGAGUCUAACUCCUCAAAACAGAGAAUGUAUCUGAGCCAUUCUGACACGCAUAUUGGUUUAAAUUUGUACAGCAACUUAAGGGUUUGAGAAAAACAUUGGUAAAAGAAGGAGCGUUUUCAUCAUGGGAAAACAAAUACCACCAAGUUAGAACAUGUAUGGAGAUUGGGCAGGACUGCAUAGACCCCAACCCACAUAAAAGGCCCACUUUGUUUGAGAUUAUCCAGCGGCUUAAUGAAGCGGAAGAUAUGAACUAUUCUGCAGCAUCACUUUGGCAGGUAUGGAAAAUCGAAAGCAUAAGAAAACAACUGUUCUUUAUCUACCAUUUCACUUUAGCUAACGUACUGUUUGAGAAGAAUCAGUCUUAGCCAAGCUUACAUCCUCACAGACACAGUACAGAAGUACAUUUCUUUUCUUUAGCCAUUACGAUUAACAUAAAGAGUUCACAAAGCCAUCUCCAACGAAAGAUAUGUGCUAAUUAAACUAAAUUGGAAGAGAAAAUACAUAACAAAGCGAAGACACCAUGUAAAUUAGAGAAGAAACAAACUCUUGGUACUCCUUCAGCGAGGGAAGACACCUUGUCAACUUAGCAGAAACAAACUCUUGGUACUCCUUCAGCGAGGGAAGACACCUUGUCAACUUAGCAGAAACCUUACGACUCUAGUCCUACAUGACAUGUCUAAGAGAAUAUUGAUAUCACGCAUUGCAUAAUGCUUACAUGGUAAGUUAUAUAUAAGUGCAGUCAGGAGACGAGGAAUCCGAUUUAUCGGAUACAGAAGCUUUGGAGACAGAGACAACAUCCGAGUUUCUUCCAAGUGACGAGGAACCCGCCUCUGUGGGCAAGACCGGAGAAACAAGCACACAGGAGCCUGAUAAACCGGACCUAGUAAGUAAGUUGCCAGCAUCGGUGGACCUGUCUGACCUAAAAGUCCUGGAGAAAAUCACAGAUGAUUUUUCACACGAAAGAAUAGUUGGGAAGGACGGUACAUUCAAAGGUUGUCAUAAGGCAUUUGUUUAUAAGGUACACAUAGUUGUAAGUUACUAUGCAGUGCUUUGCUUUGCUGAUGUCCUUUGAGUUCAACAUAUUCUUCCAUCUUAAUUAUACUCCUAACACACACACGCAUACUAAAUGUACAUUUAUUUGAACAGGGUGACAUUCCACGUAGAGAAAUGAUAGCCGUGAAGAGGUUAAUUGGAGUGGAGAUUCCAGUUGAAAAGUUUAAGAGGGAAGCAGAACAGUUCAUUCGUCUCGAUCAUAAGAAUAUAGUAAAGGUUGCCAGCUACUGCCACGACCAGUCUACAGGACAUAGACUGGUACAGUUCAAAGGAAAACCGCUACCACAACUCUUUAACGGUCCCGAACAACUGCUCUGCUAUGAAUAUAUGCACAACGGAAGCCUUCGCGACUAUCUUAUGGGUAAUGAUACCGAUCACUAAUCAACUACUGUUUUCUUUAACAUCCGUAAACAAUUACUGUUUUCUUUAACAUCUGUAAUCAACUACUGACAAUUGUUUUCGAUGGAAGAGAGCUGCACGUCCAGUACAAAUCAUAUAUAUGGAUGCAAAUAUUAGGAACUGCUUGCAAAAAUAGAAGGAAAAUCGAACGAUUUAAAGUUCAAAAAGCUAGCUCCUUGCUCAUUGAUCUCUCCAUGUCUACUUGUUGUUUUACUAGGUCAAGGAUCUCGUGAAAUUGAUUGGCAAAUGCGUUACAAAUUGAUCAAAGGGACUUGCGCAGGCUUAGAUUACCUUCACAAGGGCCGUGCAGGUUGUCCAAUUGUUCAUUUGAAUUUAAGCCCGUCAAAUGUAUUGCUGGACCACAACUACAUACCACGCAUCACAGGGUUCGAUUUUUCGAAGCUCAUUGGUGAAAAGAACACCAAAUCCGUGGUACUUAAGCUGAAUGGACCCAUGUAUGUAUGCUCUCAGUGCUACUGCUUUAAAAUUAGCUCCUGAAUUUGCUCAUGAUACAUGUCUAUGUUUUAUUUUUUUGGAAAAAUGUCUUAUGUUUUGUGGCUGCUCGGUUUAGCUAGUCUUUUUCUGUGAGAAACGUUUAGCUACUCUAUUGAUCGUAAUAUGCUUUAAUUAAACUGAUGUGUUCAUAUAUUUUUGCAGAGCGUACCUGCCACCGGAUUUCUUCCAUUCAAAGGGUACUGAUCUUAAAUAUCUUGCUACGGUAGAUAUAUACAGCUUGGGUCUUAUGAUUUUAGAAAUCGCAACACAACAAGAGAUCAAAGGCAUCCAUGGAGUGCUUAUUAAGAGUGUAAGACAAAUUUAUUAACCCUCUGAUCAUGAGAUAGCUUUUAUUGAAAGAACAAAAUUUCAACUUUUUAUAAAUAAAUAAUUAUUCGCCUUUAAAACUUUGAUGAUCUAAUAUACUCUACAGAUAGAGGAAAACUGGAGGGAAGAGUCACAAAUAACACGGCUGUAUACCUCACUAGGGGCCGACGAGCUGCGGCAAGUAAAAAUGUGCAUUGAUAUUGGCCUAGACUGUGUCAAGUCAAACCCUGAAAAGAGACCUACAGCUGGGGCCAUCAUGCUCUGGCUUGACAAAGAGAGCAAACCGGUCCCAGUUUCAAGGGCAGGUGCAGGAGUGCUGCCAAGACCUCCGGUCCCU